rnacentral:rRNA from 1 species
AGAGUUUGAUCCUGGCUCAGGAUGAACGCUAGCUGGAGGCUUAAUACAUGCAAGUCGAGCGGGAUUGGUAGCAAUACCAUGAGAGCGGCGCACGGGUGAGUAACGCGUACACGACCUACCUCUGACAGGGGGAUAGCCCUGGGAAACUGGGAUUAAUACCGCAUAUUAUUCUGAUUAAUAAAGGAUUGGAAUGAAAGUUCAGGCGGUCAGAGAUGGGUGUGCGUCUGAUUAGCUAGUUGGUAGGGUAACGGCCUACCAAGGCGAUGAUCAGUAGGGGGCGUGAGAGCGUGGUCCCCCACACGGGUACUGAGACACGGACCCGACUCCUACGGGAGGCAGCAGUAAGGAAUAUUGGACAAUGGCCGCAAGGCUGAUCCAGCCAUCCAGCGUGCAGGAAGAAGGCCCUAUGGGUUGUAAACUGCUUUUAUCAGGGAAUAAACCUCUGGAUUCACUCCGGAGCUGAAGGUACCUGAAGAAUAAGCACCGGCUAACUCCGUGCCAGCAGCCGCGGUAAUACGGAGGGUGCGAGCGUUAUCCGGAAUUACUGGGUUUAAAGGGUGCGUAGGCGGCUUUGUAAGUCAGGAGUGAAAGUUUGCGGCUCAACCGUAAAAUUGCUUCUGAUACUGCAUGGCUAGAAUUAGGAUGAGGUCAGCGGAAUGUGGCAUGUAGCGGUGAAAUGCAUAGAUAUGCCAUAGAACACCAAUUGCGAAGGCAGCUGGCUAGACCUGGAUUGACGCUGAGGCACGAAAGCGUGGGGAGCGAACAGGAUUAGAUACCCUGGUAGUCCACGCCCUAAACGA